rnacentral:rRNA from 1 species
ACGGGAGGCAGCAGUGGGGAAUAUUGCACAAUGGGGGAAACUCUGAUGCAGCGAUGCCGCGUGGAGGAAGAAGGUUUUCGGAUUGUAAACUCCUGUCUUAAAGGACGAUAAUGACGGUACUUUAGGAGGAAGCUCCGGCUAACUACGUGCCAGCAGCCGCGGUAAUACGUAGGGAGCGAGCGUUGUCCGGAAUUACUGGGUGUAAAGGGAGCGUAGGCGGGAUGGUAAGUCAGAUGUGAAAUGCAGGAGCUCAACUCCUGAGCUGCAUUUGAAACUGCUGUUCUUGAGUGAAGUAGAGGUAAGCGGAAUUCCUGGUGUAGCGGUGAAAUGCGUAGAUAUCAGGAGGAACACCGGUGGCGAAGGCGGCUUACUGGGCUUUUACUGACGCUGAGGCUCGAAAGCGUGGGUAGCAAACAGGAUUAGAUACCCUGGUA